rnacentral:tRNA from 1 species
GUUUCCGUAGUGUAGUGGUUAACACGUUCGCUUUACACACGAAAGGUCCUCGGCGUGAAACCGAGCGGAAACA